CCAGAGAACUUAGCAGAGAUGCUUUUGGUGCCUUCGGGAACUCUGAGACAGGUGCUGCAUGGCUGUCGUCAGCUCGUGUUGUGAAAUGUUGGGUUAAGUCCCGCAACGAGCGCAACCCUUUAUCCUUUGUUGCCAGCGAUUCGGUCGGGAACUCAAAGGAGACUGCCGGUGAUAAACCGGAGGAAGGUGGGGAUGACGUCAAGUCAUCAUGGCCCUUACGGCCAGGGCUACACACGUGCUACAAUGGCGCAUACAAAGAGAAGCGACCUCGCGAGAGCAAGCGGACCUCAUAAAGUGCGUCGUAGUCCGGAUUGGAGUCUGCAACUCGACUCCAUGAAGUCGGAAUCGCUAGUAAUCGUAGAUCAGAAUGCUACGGUGAAUACGUUCCCGGGCCUUGUACACACCGCCCGUCACACCAUGGGAGUGGGUUGCAAAAGAAGUAGGUAGCUUAACCUUCGGGAGGGCGCUUACCACUUUGUGAUUCAUGACUGGGGUGAAGUCGUAACAAGGUAGGCGUAGAUGA
rnacentral:rRNA from 1 species